CAGGCUUAACACAUGCAAGUCGAGGGGCAGCACGGUCUUAGCUUGCUAAGGCCGAUGGCGACCGGCGCACGGGUGAGUAACACGUAUCCAACCUGCCGUCUACUCUUGGACAGCCUUCUGAAAGGAAGAUUAAUACAAGAUGGCAUCAUGAGUCCGCAUGUUCACAUGAUUAAAGGUAUUCCGGUAGACGAUGGGGAUGCGUUCCAUUAGAUAGUAGGCGGGGUAACGGCCCACCUAGUCUUCGAUGGAUAGGGGUUCUGAGAGGAAGGUCCCCCACAUUGGAACUGAGACACGGUCCAAACUCCUACGGGAGGCAGCAGUGAGGAAUAUUGGUCAAUGGGCGAGAGCCUGAACCAGCCAAGUAGCGUGAAGGAUGACUGCCCUAUGGGUUGUAAACUUCUUUUAUAAAGGAAUAAAGUCGGGUAUGGAUACCCGUUUGCAUGUACUUUAUGAAUAAGGAUCGGCUAACUCCGUGCCAGCAGCCGCGGUAAUACGGAGGAUCCGAGCGUUAUCCGGAUUUAUUGGGUUUAAAGGGAGCGUAGAUGGAUGUUUAAGUCAGUUGUGAAAGUUUGCGGCUCAACCGUAAAAUUGCAGUUGAUACUGGAUAUCUUGAGUGCAGUUGAGGCAGGCGGAAUUCGUGGUGUAGCGGUGAAAUGCUUAGAUAUCACGAAGAACUCCGAUUGCGAAGGCAGCCUGCUAAGCUGCAACUGACAUUGAGGCUCGAAAGUGUGGGUAUCAAACAGGAUUAGAUACCCUGGUAGUCCACACGGUAAACGAUGAAUACUCGCUGUUUGCGAUAUACUGCAAGCGGCCAAGCGAAAGCGUUAAGUAUUCCACCUGGGGAGUACGCCGGCAACGGUGAAACUCAAAGGAAUUGACGGGGGCCCGCACAAGCGGAGGAACAUGUGGUUUAAUUCGAUGAUACGCGAGGAACCUUACCCGGGCUUAAAUUGCAGAUGAAUUACGGUGAAAGCCGUAAGCCGCAAGGCAUCUGUGAAGGUGCUGCAUGGUUGUCGUCAGCUCGUGCCGUGAGGUGUCGGCUUAAGUGCCAUAACGAGCGCAACCCUUGUUGUCAGUUACUAACAGGUUCCGCUGAGGACUCUGACAAGACUGCCAUCGUAAGAUGUGAGGAAGGUGGGGAUGACGUCAAAUCAGCACGGCCCUUACGUCCGGGGCUACACACGUGUUACAAUGGGGGGUACAGAGGGCCGCUACCACGCGAGUGGAUGCCAAUCCCCAAAACCUCUCUCAGUUCGGACUGGAGCCUGCAACCCGACUCCACGAAGCUGGAUUCGCUAGUAAUCGCGCAUCAGCCACGGCGCGGUGAAUACGUUCCCGGGCCUUGUACACACCGCCCGUCAAGCCAUGGGAGCCGGGGGUACCUGAAGUGCGUAACCGCGAGGAGCGCCCUAGGGUAAAACUGGUGACUGGGGCUAAGUCAUAAC
rnacentral:rRNA from 1 species